rnacentral:misc_RNA from 1 species
AAACCCUCAAGCCCCAUGGCUUGGUGUUGGGUGUAUGUCCCUGCUCCUCGCGCGGACUCGCCCCAAAUGCAUUGGCAGCGGCCUCCACGCUUCUCGCGCAGCACAUUGCGCAGCGGAGCACGGCUAGGCGCGCGUCCAGCAAGCAACCCCCAA